UACGGGGGGGGUAAGCGUUGUUCGGAAUUACUGGGCGUAAAGGGCUCGUAGGCGGCCAACUAAGUCAGACGUGAAAUCCCUCGGCUUAACCGGGGAACUGCAUCUGAUACUGGAUGGCUUGAGUUCGGGAGAGGGAUGUGGAAUUCCAGGUGUAGCGGUGAAAUGCGUAGAUAUCUGGAGGAACACCGGUGGCGAAGGCGGCAUCCUGGACCGACACUGACGCUGAGGAGCGAAAGCCAGGGGAGCAAAGCGGGG
rnacentral:rRNA from 1 species